rnacentral:rRNA from 1 species
CCUACGGGUGGCAGCAGUGAGGAAUAUUGGUCAAUGGGCGCUAGCCUGAACCAGCCAAGUAGCGUGAAGGAUGACGGCCAUAUGGGUUGUAAACUUCUUUUAUAUGGGAGUAAAUUGCAGUAUGUAUACUGCUUUGCAUGUACCUUAUCAAUAAGGAUCGGCUAACUCCGUGCCAGCGGCCGCGGUAAUACGGAGGUUCCGAGCGUUAUCCGGAUUUAGUGGGUUUAAAGGGAGCGGAUGCGGGUUGGUAAGUCAGUUGUGAAAGUUUGCGGCUCAACCGUCAAAUUGCAGUUGAUACUGGGAUCCUUGAGUACAGUAGAGGUAGGCGGAAUUCGUGGUGUAGCGGUGAAAUGCUUAGAUAUCACGAAGAACUCCGAUUGCGAAGGCAGCCUGCUGGACUGUAACUGACGCUGAUGCUCGAAAGCGUGGGUAUCAAACAGGAUUAGAUACCCGGGUAGUC